GAUGAACGCUGGCGGCGUGCCUAAUACAUGCAAGUCGAGCGAACGGACGAGAAUCUUGCUUUUCUGAUGUUAGCGGCGGACGGGUGAGUAACACGUGGAUAACCUACCUAUAAUACUGGUAUAACUUCGGGAAACCGGAUCUAAUACCGGAUAAUAUUUUGAACCGCAUGGUUCAAAAGUGAAAGACGGUCUUGCUGUCACUUAUAGAUGGAUCCGCGCUGCAUUAGCUAGUUGGUAAGGUAACGGCUUACCAAGGCAACGAUGCAUAGCCGACCUGAGAGGGGGAUAGGCAACACGGGAACUGAGAAACGGUACAGACGCCGACGGGAGGCAGCAGUAGGGAAUCUUCCGCAAUGGGCGAAAGCAUGACGGAGCAACGCCGCGUGAGUGAUGAAGGUCUUCGGAUCGUAAAACUCUGUUAUUAGGGAAGAACAUAUGUGUAAGUAACUGUGCACAUCUUGACGGUAACUAAUCAGAAAGCCACGGCUAACUACGUG
rnacentral:rRNA from 1 species